GAUGAAGAACGCAGUGAAAUGCGAUAAGUAAUGCGAAUUGCAGAAUUCAGUGAGUCAUCGAAUCUUUGAACGCACAUUGCGCCCUGUGGUAUUCCGCAGGGCAUGCCUGUUCGAGCGUCAUUUCAACCCUCAAGCUCUGCUUGGUGUUGGGCCCUGCCCGCUGCGGCCGGCCCUAAAGACAGUGGCGGUGCCGCCUGGCCCUGAGCGUAGUACAUCUCUCGCUCCAGUGCCCGGUGGUAGCCUGCCAGAACCCCAACUCUCGUGGUUGACCUCGGAUCAGGUAGGGAUACCCGCUGAACUUAAGCAUCUCAAUAAGCGGAGGA
rnacentral:misc_RNA from 1 species